GAUCUCUCUCUCUCUCUUUCUAAACUCUAUACACCCAUCUGCAUUCUAAACUGGUUUUUCUUUAAUUUUGGCCUGGAAAGAAGAGGUGGUUGCAGCAAGAUUUGGUACAGUUUAUAGGGUAAGGAGUAUAGAUCUAGCAGAAAUGAGGAGAGAGAGUGAGAGGGGCAAUUGUGGUAUUGUUGACAGAAGAUAGAGAGCACAGAUGAUGAAAUGCUAAACUGAAAAUAUUGCUGCCAAAAUUGAAAAGCAUCUCACUCCAUUUGUGCUCUCUAUGCUUCUGUCAUCACCUUCACACCCACUCCUCCUCUCUUAUCUUUCAUCACUUCUUUUAUUGGAAAUUAAAACUAUAUUUUUUUUUUUAUAAAUAUAUAUAGUUAUAACUAUAUAUUCUUGGGUUUCUUAAUUUCCCUUUGUGUCAGUGUCUUAUCUCUUGAUUUUCGUUCUGCCACAUUUUAAUUAAUAUAUUUUUAGCCUGUUUUGCUUUGGGGAUUUUGAGAUUUUCUUUCUGUUUUGGGUAUUUCCACAAAUGGAAAGGAGUGGUUGAACCUCUCUGAGUAUCAGCACAUACAGCUGCAGUGCUACUGUUUUUUCCAGUACCUUUAAACAAUAUUGCAGGUUUUCUUGGGCAAAUUAAAGGAAGAUUUUAGAUUGAAAAGUCACACUAUGACAGUAUUACUACCUACAAAUACGAUUAUGGAUCAUUCUUAGCAACUUGUAGUGUCAAGAUCUAAAGGUGUCCGCGCGGGUUUAGCUCACUCGUUCAGUAGACAGUAUUUAAAAGAAGAUCUAAUGGACUUGAAGUGUUUGCAUUUACAUGCACUUGGGACCAAUAUGUUGACAACCUCCUUGAAUUGGGGUGAUUGAUGAACUACAUCUCAAUCUCAAGGUAUAUAUAUAUAUUCUUUUUAUCAAAUAUGUGUUGUUAGCUUUUUGUAUAUACUGUUAAUGUGUGAUGCCUCCUAGAAAUGAAUUGAAUUAAUUAUACAUGGAGAAAAUUUUGGAAUUAUUAUGAUUUUGAGAUGUUUGUGAAGAACAUAUUCCUGGGAAGAAUGAAAGAAGAAAGCAGCAAGAGUUGUUGAUACCUUUAUCUUUGAUUUCAUGUAUACCAACACUUUUAAAUAAAUUAGUAAGCAAACAAAACAACUAAGAUGUUAAUUAGUUUCAAUGGCAGGUUUCAGCAUCAUAAGACACUAUUAGCAGCAAUUCUUAGUAUCCAUUGUCAGCUACUCAGCUAUCAUAUAGUUAAAACCCUUCCAGUUUCAAUUAUUUCUGUAUUAUCUCUUUAAUAGAAAAGUGUACCCAAAAAAAAUAUAUCUUUAUUAGAAAAAUAUUUUAUUCAAAUUAAAUACUGGCCAGGGAUACUUUAUAAGUCUUUCUUGAUUGUUAUAAUACUAUAUAUGUCAUCUGAGUAAUCAUUAGAAGUGAAAUUUUUAAAUAUGAAUAAUACAGAUGUCAUGAAAUCUAUGCUAUGAGGAGAUUAUAUUAAAUUCAAAACUUAUAUAUUAUAAAGAAUAAUUGAAAGAUGUAAUAGUAUAGGGAUCAUGAUAUUAAGAAAACAACAGUUACUUACCUGGCCUUUAAGUCCUUAAAUGCAUCAUUUUGAUCUGCAUAGUGGCAUGUAUAUAUACAUACAUCAAUAAUGUUUGCAAGGUACUAUGUUGUUUUCAUGAAUAACCUUAAUAGCAUUCCAAUUCAUAUUUAUGCAUCCUUAAACUACACUAUUCAAAUCUAUUGUGCGUUCAUUCUACGUUGAAUAUAAUCCCUAUAUAUAGAUGUGGAUAGCAAAUACUGGUCUGGCAUAGUGUUAAAGCAUAUGUGUGUGUGUGUGUAUAUAUACAUAUAUAUAUGUGUGUGCGCGUUUUUGUGUGUGUGUGUGUAACUAAUGCACUUUAUUAUUAAUAAUGCCCUAUUGCCUAUUUGACUUGGUUAAACAACUAAUAUAAGUGUUUGAUUAAUAUGUUUUUUACAACAUCUUAUUGGUCCUAAACGCCAAAUUUAAGAUGAAAGUAUAUAUGGACAUAUAGGAUUAAAUUGCCUAGAAUGUAUGCCAGAAUUGGAUUUUUUUUUCUUUUUAAUGGUUUAAUGUAAUUUUCUUGUUUCAAUUUUGAUGUGCUAAGGAACACAACCAGUAUGCGCUAAGUAUAUACCUUAAUUAAUUAUGGCCUACCUUCAACUACUUCCAUUAAAUGAGAAUUAUGUCGAAA